UUCUUUCGCUUAAUAUUUUCAGAGCACCUACCUAUUACAGGCACUGUCACUUCUCACAAAACUGGGACAACUAACUGUUUAUCCAACAUCUGCUGGCUAAAUAAAGACAUGAUCUUCACCUUUUGGGAUUGUCAAUUUAAAAUGGUUCCAUAAGAGCAAUGCAAAGACAGAGAUAUUUGGCAGCACUGCAGCUGGUGAUUUAUAUGGCUCUUCACAAGGUGUUAUUUUGGGGUAUCAAGGUAUGGAUGCUUAAAUCAGCUGCAGGAAGUAAGAAAGAAGAAAAAAAGAGUGAUAAAGAUAAAAAAAAUCAACCUUGGUCCUUCCACCAAGACCCAUUAAUUUCCAUAUCAUCAUCUGCAUAAGAGGGAAGAUUCCUACAUGACCAGGUUACUGCAAGGAUGUGAAUUUUGAAUAUUAAAAUAUUAUAUACAAUUGGAAA
rnacentral:lncRNA from 1 species